AGAGGCCCAUCUGUGGCCAGGUGCGGAAUGCUUGCCUCGUUGCCACGGUGACGAAGCAAGCAUUCCGCCAGGCCGCUCAUGCUGCCCGC
rfam:Myotis lucifugus cont2.64836, whole genome shotgun sequence.